UAGCACACAUACACACACAGACAGAAUGCACGGAGGAGCGGGUCCAGAGGAGCAGGACCUCUGCGCCCUAAAUGCGUCUGGGAGCAGAGACGCUGCAGCACAUCAGCCGCUGAAAAGUAAACGGUGGCCGGUCUUGGAGAAUGGGACACCUGGAGCUUGCAUUUUGGGGAUUGACAGCGGCGUGUCAUCCACCCGUGCUCUGCGCUGCAGCUUCACAGGCGGAGAAAUUAACCGGCAGGCUCCACUUUCAGAGGGUCCACAGACCUCUGCACGGCUGCGCAAGGUUUUCCUCCAUCCUCUUCUUCCUCUCUGUGACCUAAAUGUUUUUAGUUUGUUCUUCUGUUCAAACAGUUACUCCGUCCGUUUGUCCUCUUCAUCUGUACCAUUCACUGCCGAGGAAGAGGAAGCUGUCGGGGAUGAGUUCAUCAGUUUGUUCUCCUUCUUCCACUUCAUCCUCCGGUUCUGGAACCAGAUCUUGAUCUGGCGCUCCGUGAGACAGAGCGCAUGGGCGAUCUCGAUGCGCCGCCGCCGCGUCAGGUACCGGUUGAAGUGGAACUCCUUCUCCAGCUCCAGAGUCUGGUAGCGCGUGUACGUCUGCCGCCCGCGCCUGCCGGGGCUGCCGAAGGUGCCUGCGUGCGGGGACAGAAGUACAGAAGGAAAGUUAACGUUUAACCCACCUCAAAACAAAAACUGUACGUGUUUGAGACAGAAACAAGCUAAGCCUGUAUAAUUUACAGUAUUUCAUUUUCUCUUUUAUUUUAUUUUAUUUUUACCAGACGAUGUAUUUGCAUUUAAUAGAAUAAAUAUUUAUUUUAGAUUGUGUUUAACAUUUUUGCCGGUUGUGCAGUACUUCCUCAUUUUCUGAUCAAACAAAAAUAAUAAGUUUUUAAUUUAUUUCUGUGUUGCUCCCUGGGGAGCAGAUCUGCUGUCAGCACAGCAGGCUUCCAGAAGAGCAGCGUCUGGACUGGAUUUUUGGCUAUAAAAAAGUCCCUAAAAAAUGAACAAAUAAAUAAAUAAAUCAUUUCCAGCAUUCA